rnacentral:lncRNA from 1 species
CAGCUGCACAGCUCCAGACAAUCGUUGUCAAGGACGGGAAUGAGAUUCUAACAUGGCUGAUCUGAUUUUUCAAGAAAGGUGAAAGACCCAAAUUCAUGGAAGAGAAGUGAGUCACACAGGGAGCCAGUGGCAGAGCCACACCCCACAGAGCAAUCAACAUGCUCUACUCUGCAGACCUGCAACAGGGAGGGAAGCCAGACUCUGAUGCAAGAAGGAAAGACCAUGUGCUGGCUCAGUGUGUGCAGCCUGGACUGAGCUACUGAACUCUAAAUCCAAGGAUGACUAAUGUAAGCCUAAAGGGUAAUCUGCAAAUACUGCUCCAUUAAUAUUCAAUGAUAAAUGAUAUUGCUUUAGAAUCAAAUUCACAUAAACAGAAGCUUCAGCUGUAUGUCCGCACCCUGGGAACAUUAAAUUGUAAGCCACGUCUUGUA